GCGGCGUGCUUAACACAUGCAAGUCGAACGGAAAGGCCCUUCGGGGUACUCGAGUGGCGAACGGGUGAGUAACACGUGGGUGAUCUGCCCUGCACUUUGGGAUAAGCCUGGGAAACUGGGUCUAAUACCGAAUAGGACCACGCGCUUCAUGGUGUGUGGUGGAAAGCUUUUGCGGUGUGGGAUGGGCCCGCGGCCUAUCAGCUUGUUGGUGGGGUAAUGGCCUACCAAGGCGACGACGGGUAGCCGGCCUGAGAGGGUGACCGGCCACACUGGGACUGAGAUACGGCCCAGACUCCUACGGGAGGCAGCAGUGGGGAAUAUUGCACAAUGGGCGCAAGCCUGAUGCAGCGACGCCGCGUGAGGGAUGACGGCCUUCGGGUUGUAAACCUCUUUCAAUAGGGACGAAGCGYRAGUGACGGUACCUAUAGAAGAAGCACCGGCCAACUACGUGCCAGCAGCCGCGGUAAUACGUAGGGUGCGAGCGUUGUCCGGAAUUACUGGGCGUAAAGAGCUCGUAGGUGGUUUGUCGCGUUGUUCGUGAAAACUCACAGCUUAACUGUGGGCGUGCGGGCGAUACGGGCAGACUAGAGUACUGCAGGGGAGACUGGAAUUCCUGGUGUAGCGGUGGAAUGCGCAGAUAUCAGGAGGAACACCGGUGGCGAAGGCGGGUCUCUGGGCAGUAACUGACGCUGAGGAGCGAAAGCGUGGGGAGCGAACAGGAUUAGAUACCCUGGUAGUCCACGCCGUAAACGGUGGGUACUAGGUGUGGGUUCCUUCCUUGGGAUCCGUGCCGUAGCUAACGCAUUAAGUACCCCGCCUGGGGAGUACGGCCGCAAGGCUAAAACUCAAAGGAAUUGACGGGGGCCCGCACAAGCGGCGGAGCAUGUGGAUUAAUUCGAUGCAACGCGAAGAACCUUACCUGGGUUUGACAUGCACAGGACGCCGGCAGAGAUGUCGGUUCCCUUGUGGCCUGUGUGCAGGUGGUGCAUGGCUGUCGUCAGCUCGUGUCGUGAGAUGUUGGGUUAAGUCCCGCAACGAGCGCAACCCUUGUCCUAUGUUGCCAGCGGGUUAUGCCGGGGACUCGUAGGAGACUGCCGGGGUCAACUCGGAGGAAGGUGGGGAUGACGUCAAGUCAUCAUGCCCCUUAUGUCCAGGGCUUCACACAUGCUACAAUGGCCGGUACAAAGGGCUGCGAUGCCGUGAGGUGGAGCGAAUCCUUUCAAAGCCGGUCUCAGUUCGGAUCGGGGUCUGCAACUCGACCCCGUGAAGUCGGAGUCGCUAGUAAUCGCAGAUCAGCAACGCUGCGGUGAAUACGUUCCCGGGCCUUGUACACACCGCCCGUCACGUCAUGAAAGUCGGUAACACCCGAAGCCGGUGGCCUAACCCUUGUGGAGGGAGCCGUCGAAGGUG
rnacentral:rRNA from 2 species